rnacentral:rRNA from 1 species
UGGGGAAUAUUGGACAAUGGGCGAAAGCCUGAUCCAGCCAUGCCGCGUGUGUGAAGAAGGCCUUAUGGUUGUAAAGCACUUUAAGCGAGGAGGAGGGUACUGGUAUUAAUACUACCAGGUACUGGACGUUACUCGCAGACUAAGCACCGGCUAACUCUGUGCCAGCAGCCGCGGUAAUACAGAGGGUGCGAGCGUUAAUCGGAUUUACUGGGCGUAAAGCGUGCGUAGGCGGCUAAUUGAGUCGGAUGUGAAAUCCCCGAGCUUAACUUGGGAAUUGCAUUCGAUACUGGUUAGCUAGAGUGUGGGAGAGGAUGGUAGAAUUCCAGGUGUAGCGGUGAAAUGCGUAGAGAUCUGGAGGAAUACCGAUGGCGAAGGCAGCCAUCUGGCCUAACACUGACGCUGAGGUACGAAAGCAUGGGGAGCAAACAGG